GGUUAAGCGACUAAGCGUACACGGUGGAUGCCCUGGCAGUCAGAGGCGAUGAAGGACGUGCUAAUCUGCGAUAAGCGUCGGUGAGGUGAUAUGAACCGUUAUAACCGGCGAUUUCCGAAUGGGGAAACCCAGUGUGUUUCGACACACUAUCAUUAACUGAAUCCAUAGGUUAAUGAGGCGAACCGGGGGAACUGAAACAUCUAAGUACCCCGAGGAAAAGAAAUCAACCGAGAUUCCCCCAGUAGCGGCGAGCGAACGGGGAGGAGCCCAGAGCCUGAAUCAGUGUGUGUGUUAGUGGAAGCGUCUGGAAAGGCGCGCGAUACAGGGUGACAGCCCCGUACACAAAAAUGCACAUAUUGUGAGCUCGAUGAGUAGGGCGGGACACGUGGUAUCCUGUCUGAAUAUGGGGGGACCAUCCUCCAAGGCUAAAUACU
rnacentral:rRNA from 1 species